GAGUUUGAUCAUGGCUCAGAUUGAACGCUGGCGGCAUGCCUUACACAUGCAAGUCGAACGGCAGCACGGGAGCUUGCUCCUGGGUGGCGAGUGGCGAACGGGUGAGUAAUGCAUCGGGAACGUAUCCUGGAGUGGGGGAUAACGUAGCGAAAGUUACGCUAAUACCGCAUAUUCUAGUGGAGCAGGAAAGCGGGGGACCUUCGGGCCUCGC
rnacentral:rRNA from 1 species